UUAGCAUGGAAUAAUGGAAUAGGACGUAUGGUUCUAUUUUGUUGGUUUCUAGGACCAUCGUAAUGAUUAAUAGGGACGGUCGGGGGCAUCAGUAUUCAGUUGUCAGAGGUGAAAUUCUUGGAUUAACUGAAGACUAACUACUGCGAAAGCAUUUGCCAAGGACGUUUUCAUUAAUCAAGAACGAAAGUUAGGGGAUCGAAGAUGAUCAGAUACCGUCGUAGUCUUAACCAUAAACUAUGCCGACUAGGGAUCGGGUGGCGCUAUUUUGCCCACUCGGCACCUUACGAGAAAUCAAAGUUUUUGGGUUCUGGGGGGAGUAUGGUCGCAAGGCUGAAACUUAAAGGAAUUGACGGAAGGGCACCACCAGGAGUGGAGCCUGCGGCUUAAUUUGACUCAACACGGGGAAACUCACCAGGUCCAGACGUAAUAAGGAUUGACAAGUUAGAGACUUCUCUUGAUCUUACGGGUGGUGGUGCAUGGCCGUUUUUAGUCCUUGGAGUGAUUUGUCUGCUUAAUUGCGAUAACGGACGAGACCUUAACCUGCUAAAUAGGGCUGCGAGCAUCUGCUCGUGGGCUCUUCUUAGAGGGACUAUGGGUAUCAAACCCAUGGAAGUUUGAGGCAACAACAGGUCUGUGAUGCCCUUAGACGUUCUGGGCCGCACGCGCGCUACACUGACGGAGCCAGCAAGUAUAUCCUUGGUCGAGAGGCCCGGGUAAUCUCGUGAAACUCCGUCGUGCUGGGGAUAGAGCAUUGCAAU
rnacentral:rRNA from 1 species